AAUUACAGCUGGUCUGGAAGGCACUAUAUGAGGUUGAACAAUAAGCAGCAAAGCUCCUAGUAGAAGAGCUGCCAUGGCAGAAGUUCUUAAUCUGGUUUCACUCAACCAGGCAGAGGAGAAACUGAAGUACAUCUGGAAAACAGAAUCAGGGCUGCAACCUCAUCCUAGAACGAGUAGGUUAUGGGUAUACACCUAAGUGCUUCAAGAAACCAACCACCCUGCUGUGCAGUGCUACUACUGGAUUGG